UACGGAGGGUGCAAGCGUUAUCCGGAUUCACUGGGUUUAAAGGGUGCGUAGGUGGGAAAGUAAGUCAGUGGUGAAAUCUCCGUGCUUAACACGGAAACUGCCAUUGAUACUAUUUUUCUUGAAUUUUCUGGAGGUCAGCGGAAUAUGUCAUGUAGCGGUGAAAUGCUUAGAUAUGACAUAGAACACCAAUUGCGAAGGCAGCUGGCUACAGGGAUAUCGACACUGAGGCACGAAAGCGUGGGGAUCAAACAGG
rnacentral:rRNA from 1 species